rnacentral:rRNA from 1 species
UACGGGAGGCAGCAGUAGGGAAUCUUCCACAAUGGACGCAAGUCUGAUGGAGCAACGCCGCGUGAGUGAAGAAGGCUUUCGGGUCGUAAAACUCUGUUGUUGGAGAAGAAUGGUCGGCAGAAGUAAACUGUUGUCCGCGUGACGGUAUCCAACCAGAAAGCCACGGCUAACUACGUGCCAGCAGCCGCGGUAAU